UGUUACACAUUGUCCUCUUCUUGCCAACUCUUUUCACUAGAUUUAUUUCAAAUAUGAGUUUCCUCUUGAACUAAAUAUCUUGCUAAAACUGUACAUCCAACUUUACCAGGUAAUGUGUCCAUAAAAGUGUUUUCUUCACCUAGUUUAUUAUCUGUUUGUGGUCAUGGAUUUUCUGCAGAAAGUAUACAAGAAUCAUUUUUUUUUUUUAACUAAACUCUUACUCCCAGGCGUUAUUGCUGUACCUUAACACGGGGUUAGCUCUGAGGUAAAAUAUUUUGAGAGUCAAUGGAAGUGAUAUACGUCCAUGGUAAUUGAGGUAGAGAUGGAUUCGAGUGAAAAACACUGCCCGUGGGAUACAAAUUUCACAGGUGCAAGGUGCUUGGACAAAGAUCAGAAAGCAUGAGAUGAACAAAUAUAUGCAACAGAGGAUGAUUGUAUACUGAUGAAAUUUUUUUUUCUUUCCAAACUUAUCUGAAGUUAUCUUUGUUUUUUGUUUUAUUUUUUACAUGACCAGUUCGAAAGAUAAUUUCUCUAUGGAUCUUGUUGAAGUUUUCUUUAUUUCGUCACUCUUCAGAUGCUUCAUAAUUGUAUC